UAAUUACUGUAGAGCAUGCACCCGCUUGUGCAAGAACGAUGGGAGCUUAUUUCAGCUGGACAUUCAUGUAUUUUCCAACUUCAAUGAAGCCAAUUUAAUGAAGAACAUGCACCCGAUUGUGCAUAUAUUUUUUAGAGUUGUUUGGUGCAUUCACUUAGCUGAUUGUUCAUGCAUCCAUUGCCAAUAGUUGUGAGCUGAUUAGCUAAACAUUCAAGAGAUCAUUCAGUGCUUGUUGUUCACACUCAAAGUCUCUUCAUAACCGAGCUUUCACAUGUAAAGGGACCAUUCAGCUGGCCAUAUAAAGAUUAUCAUGAAUUCUCAUUAAGGUCGAAUGAAUGUACAAGUACAUUCAAGGAAUCUUGAAACACGUGCCAUCAUUUUUAGUGCAUGUGACCAUUCAUAUGAAGGAGCCAAAUACAUGGAUUCAUGCACUUGAUGUUUGGCCUAAUUCAAAGGAUCAUCCAUAUGCAUGAAUGGCAAGGGGAGGAGUUUUACAUUAAAAUGGAAACAUUGAAUGUGAUCAUUCAUGAAUCUACUCAAGAGUAAUGAAUUUAUCCAUCCAUACAGUUCCUAAGGGGGACGAAUUUACUCUUCAACAACCCAAAUGAUUCAUGAAUGAACAAAGAUGAAGAAUGUGACCAUUUGGUCAUAUAUUGCACCCAACUAUUCAUGUAUCUACAAUAUACAUUGUACGACCAUAAACUGAAAAAUAUAUAGG
rnacentral:lncRNA from 1 species